AGAGCCCUGGCAACACUGCCUGACAAAUCUGUCAUCCCCUUGAUAUAUCAAAAUUUUUCUUCACCGUUUUAUCUCUGCAUUUUCGUUAAGCAUAUAGAGUUCGUUCUACGCUUAAUCAGAAUUCCCUUUGGCAAGAAGUCUAUGUGAUUUGAUGGAUCCUUGGGGCAGCGAAAUUGCAGAUUCCGCUGACGUUGCAUCUAAGUUCGAGGACGACUUUACUCCAGAAGCUGAACCUGAGAAAUUGGCAGACUCAGCCGAAUAUCUCGCUAUUCUAGAGAGGAAGCUAAAAGCAGUCCAAAACAAGAACAAGGUUGUUGAAAACCUAUCUGCGUACAGGGAAGAUUGUCUCAACCGCUUGAUGCGAGACGGUUGCGAUCUUGACCCAGUUAUCGGAGACACGGACAGUGAGAAACUUAUUCAAGACCAAGAAUAAAAAGUUAUUUAUAAUAAUGACGACAGGGCGUAAGUCCUUGUUCAUCUUCCUGAUGGGUCUAGCGUGGCGCUGCAGGUACAGUAUGCCACUUCUGUUGAGCGGCAGCGUGGCGAUCCUCGGCCACGCCUGGAUGUUCCAGAUCCGAGUACACACGGUGCACAGGCUUCAUGAGAACGAGCUGGGUUACUACGAUGAUGAGGAAGAUCAAGACGACGAGGACGAUGGCUCGUGGGUGACAGAGUCCACAGACUCCUGGGAGACUAUGGUCGAGGAGGUGGCAUAUGGUUGAUGACCCGGCAUGCAAAACGAGAUUAAUUGUGGAUUUUUUUAGAAUUUAAUGUCUAUUUGGACUCUCGUCAUUUUCCUGGAUUUUAAAGAAUACUUACCACACUAGCGUUGACGUCAAUAAACAAUACUAAUAAUAAAUAGAGUGAAAAUUGGAGAGCUUAAAAACUAAUUUGUCAAAAUUAUUAACUUGGCAAUUUUCAAGGCCCUAAAAAUAUAAAUUACUUACGACAUCCUACACAGUAUUCAACUACAGUAUUCAACUCCAUUUACAAUACCGUGGACUAAUAACUCGAGGGCUGCUAUUUUCCAUACUACAGAUUGUAAUUCCGAAAAGGGUCAAAAUUCCAUCUUAUAGUUUUAGAUAAAGUAGUUAUGCCCGUAGAUAUAAAUUAAUUCCUCUUUAAUAUGAAAUAUAAGCAGUCAGUUUUUUUCCUUGUAAAAUAUUCAAAUACUGACCAUGAGCUAAGAAUAUUAUGAGUGUCAAUAGAUGGCAUUCUGUGUUACAAACUAAUUUAUAAAUUAGCGCUUCCUAAUAUGGGUAGAUGGCGCUAAUCCUAAUCUAAUUAAAAGAAUAGCCGGCAGUAUCGAUAAAAUCUGUGCAAUAAGCGCCAUCUAGUUGAUUUGUUUGUUAUCUCUAGUUAAGUAUUUUCUAUUACAAUUAUCACACAACUCGCAUGCAGGUUACUUGCGAAAACGUAUUAUACAUGUUUUACUUAAUGUAAUUGUAAUUUUACUUCCGGUUCUGUUACUUCCUGAUUUGACUGAUAUACAAAUUUACUUUUUUGAAAAAUCAUGUUUAACUACUUUUGUAAAAUUACCCAAGUUCUAAAAGAUGGUAUAUAUAUGUGCACUCAAAAUGGACAUUAUAUUUUAUUCUAGUUCAAUAUGAACAUGUAUUUUUUUAAAUCAUAACAAGGGCUUUUUAUAAUCACACGUAUAUCUAAUUUACUUGCAAACUUUUGAAUUUACGUUGUUAUGGCGUCACACUUGCGAAUUUUUCAAACAAGUUUGCGAAUCGUAUAAUAAUCAUACAUACGUUAUUAUACGACCUGUCAUUUGUCAACUUUGCGAAUAAAAACCUUUUGUGCAUGGACGCACUAUUAUAGAACUAUUCACUUUUGAAGUGUAAAUAAAAACCUCAUGUGCAUAGACACGUUAUUAUACAAUCAUUUACUUUACGACAUUGUAUAUAAAAGCACUAUGUGCUUAUACACAUUAUCAUAUAAUCUGUCACUAUUCGACUUUGUAAAUAAUAACCUUGUAUAUAAACUAGGGCCUUCAAUCUCGUUGCAUUUCUGCGUCCCGGGAAAAAGUUCAGGAGAAAAGCUCUAAAGUUUUCGAGACUAUUUCAAAAGUAGGCAUUUGUGCAAGUUAUUAAAGUUUUUUAUUAUAGUCCAUUUGUUUAGGUACUUUUAAGUAAAUGUAAACAAUCUAGA